CGACCCUUAAAACCAGCUGGUCACCUGCCACCCGGCAGACGGCAAACAAGCAAACCUUCCCUACAAAGCUUCCCAGACUCCUUUUAUGGCAAAUGCGUUGAAAACCAGCUCACUGUCUGGCCGCCACCCCAGCUGCCCCAAGCCUCUUCGCUCUGUCCCUCCUCCGUCUCCACCACACCACCAAGGAACUCAAAGGAAACGCAAGGUAGACACCUAGGAACGGAAUGGCUAGAUCCUAUACGAGUUUUGUAUUGUAUUAAACCUGCCAAUUGUUUUCCAAAGUGGUGACAUCAUCCUACAUUUCCCGGAGCCACGCUGAUCUGAGAUUGUGCGUGAGUUCGUGUUUUGAUUUUAUUUUAUAGGAUUGGGAACAUAAGAUAGGUAAGUGCUGGAUCCUCAGCCUGUAUGAUUGCAUUCUGAGAUUUUUAUAUAUUCUGAAUAUAAAAUUCUUUAUCAGACAUUUGCCUUGCAAAUAUUUUUCCCAGUCUGUGGCUCACCUAUUAAUUCUCUUAACAGUGUCUCUGGGAGAGUAGGUUUUAAUUUUGCUGACAUCAAUUUGGUCAAUUUGUUCUUACACUGCUUUAGUUGUCCUAUU
rnacentral:lncRNA from 1 species